UACGGAGGGGGCUAGCGUUGUUCGGAAUUACUGGGCGUAAAGCGCACGUAGGCGGCUUUGCAAGUUAGAGGUGAAAGCCCGGGGCUCAACUCCGGAAUUGCCUUUAAAACUGCAUCGCUAGAAUUGUGGAGAGGUAAGUGGAAUUCCGAGUGUAGAGGUGAAAUUCGUAGAUAUUCGGAAGAACACCAGUGGCGAAGGCGACUUACUGGACACAUAUUGACGCUGAGGUGCGAAGGCGUGGGGAGCAAACAGG
rnacentral:rRNA from 1 species